rnacentral:tRNA from 1 species
AGCUCUGUGGUGAAUUAACAUGUUGAAUUGCAAAUUCAAAGAAGCAGUUUUAA